rnacentral:rRNA from 1 species
UACGGGGGGGGCAAGCGUUGUUCGGAAUUACUGGGCGUAAAGGGCUUGUAGGUGGCCAACUAAGUCAGACGUGAAAUCCCUCGGCUUAACCGGGGAACUGCGUCUGAUACUGGAUGGCUGGAGUAUGGGAGAGGGAUGCGGAAUUCCAGGUGUAGCGGUGAAAUGCGUAGAUAUGCGGAGGAACACCGAUGGCGAAGGCAAUCCCCUGGGCCUGCACUGACGCUCAUGCACGAAAGCGUGGGAGCGAA